rnacentral:lncRNA from 1 species
GUGAGUGUCCUCUACCUCUUUCUCUUCCUUUUCCCAAUUGUCUAGCCUUUGCAGCCUUGGAAUUAAGCUGGCAAGUCGUCGGAAUUCAUCCAAAAUAGGGGUACCUUGUUUCGGCGUCUCUUCCUCCUAUGUUCGCAGCCAUCGGCUGCCGGAAUAGGCCAAGCUUCGCCACCUUCCGAGAGCACUGAGAUCAUGUGGUCAUCGAUCAGGGAGAUCGGCCAUGAUCUAGGCCGAGUUUUUUCAUGAUUCAUCUUGUCUUCCUCCCUUCUUCCUUGUGCCGGACGGCCACCGUUGCCGGCAAGGCUGCGGCCGAAGGACCCCUUGGGCCGCUGCCACUGGAGUAGGCCGCUUUGGCCGCCACCAUAGAGAGGGAGAGAACGGCUCUCCCCUAUUUUGGGGAAGAAGAGAGGCUUCUCUCUUUUUUCUCUCUUAGUUUUCUCUUCCUUUGUUUCUCUCUCUUCACAUGAUUCUAUGGAUCCAACGGGAAGGUCCCAUAUUUCCUUUAUGGACCCAGAUUGACCCCAAUAGAGGGUCUUAGACCAGUAUCGUUGCGACCACCCGUCGCGCUAGUUUUAUCCUGACCAUUGCCGAGCACCGCUGGACUCUAUCAUCAUUAGUCUUUAUUGUAUUAUCUAUACCAUGGUUUGAUUCUUGUUUCAUAAGUUAACUAAUUUGAUUGACCAGAGCGGACUGAUCCAGAUCAUCGGAUGCUGCUACCUAGUCGAUCAUGUCAGUCUCGCACUCGAUUGUUGUCAACUACCAUUGGAUCCAUAAUUGAUAACUCCGGAUCUAUUGUCUUUUUCUUACUUGGAUAUAUGUUUCUUGAUCAGAUAGAUUGAGUUACGUUAUACUAACUGAUUCGAACAAUUGAGCGUUGUCACCUAGCUGGCCACGUAUAUCUUUCUAUACAAAUCUAUUUUCAUAGUCUAGCCUUAAUUUUGUAUAGGGCUACAAUCAUUCGGAAAGAAAGAAACCCAACAAGAUUCUACACUCUAGUUUCUAAAUUGAGGUAUGGCCCCGAUCCUUUAUUUUAAUUAAAGAAGAAUAGAGAAUAUGAGUAAUUCAAGUAUUGUAACUCUAAAAUUAGGUAAUUGCUGAGCAAUUGAUUCACUGAUAUGGCGAGUGAUUGAUAAGGAAUAAGUUGGUAUUAUAUUAAUAUUAAAUUGACUGGACAUGUUAGGUAUGGAUUGGUAGUGUUGUAGCUGGGUUGGAUUACGAUAGAGGUAAGAAUUUUUAUACUUGGUCACCAUAUAGAUAUAUAUAUAUAUAUAUAUAUUGGUUUGUACUGCUGGAUUUGCAUCGUGAGAUUUGCAUCGAUGGUUUUGGUUUGGCAUGUGAUGAUAUGUUUCUAGUACAAAUAUAUUCGUAUGGUUAUUAUACAUAUCAGAUAUUGAGAACAUAAUUACGUGAACACAAAUAUCUUGAAUUUGAGAAAAAUUCAUUAUAUAAGUGGUCACUGAUUUGACAAGAACAACAUGUAAAUCAGGUAAAAAAAUAUAGUUUGGACCAAGGUAGGCUGAACCGGUACCGGUAAGCGUAUCGGUCGCCUAUCAGACCGGUUCAAACCGGUCCGGUACGAACUGGUCUUUGUGGACCGGUUCAAACCGGUCUCUGUGGCAUUUAUUACCUGCGCGGGGCAGCGCGUGGGCGCGAAUAAGCUGGCCCGCGCACGCGUGAGGCAGGGCGGUUCCCAACGCAGGGAAACAUGCCUGUGCGCGGUGGAACCGCGCAAGGAAACGCGUAGGGCGGAGAACCAUGCAAGGGUUGUGGUUAAAAAAAGUUGGUACCGAUGUGAACCGGCCGAUUCGCACCAGUACAGACCAGUACGAGGCCGAUACGCAGCCGGUACGCAUGCGUACUGAUCGGUACCAGCCCAAAAAUAGCUGAAAUCGGUUUUUACGCUGUCCAGAUACCGGUUCCAGGCCGAACCGGUCCGUACCAGGCUGAACAAGCCGGUACGGUCCGGUUCGGCAGACCAUGAUUUGGACUAACCUUAUCAUAGGAUAGCGCUCAUGAGCUAAUGCAUGAGGAUAGCUUCCACGAGCUUAUGCAUGAAAUAGGCUCCACAGGCUUAAGCAUUGUAUAGCGCCCAUGGGCUUAUGCAUGAAAUUUCGUCAGUCUUGGAUCAAGUUAUGAUCUUGGUUAGUCCAAAGCCGGAAGUUAAUCAAUGAAAAACAUGAAAAUCAAGUUAAUGAGAAACAUAUGAAAUAACAUAAAAAAUUGUUGUUGAACAAUUAGUUAUAUAUAUGUGUGUGUGUAUUUGAAAAGAUGAUAAUGAGAACUUAUAUGCAUAUUAUUUGUAUGAGCUUUUCGAGUAUUGAUACUUAUUUGGUACUGCUAAUUGAUUACUUUCUUAUGACUUAUGGCGCAUCGAUUCAGAACUUUUACUGGGCUGUAAAGCUCAUAACCUC